rnacentral:rRNA from 1 species
UACGUAGGGGGGCAAGCGUUGUCCCGGAUUCAUUGGGCGUAAAGAGCGUGUAGGCGGCCAGGUAGGUCGGUUGUGAAAACUGGAGGCUCAACCUUCAGAGGUCGACCGAAACCAUCUGGCUAGAGUCCGGGAGAGGAGAGUGGAAUUCCUGGUGUAGCGGUGAAUGCGCAGAUAUCAGGAAGAACACCCGUGGCGAAGCGGCUCUCUGGAACGGUACUGACGCUGAGACGCGAAAGCGUGGGAGCGAACAGG